rnacentral:lncRNA from 1 species
AGCUGACUCUGAUGGGCUUCACCAUCCCAGAACAUACAAUCCGUGACUAAAUGGAGGGCAUCACCUGUGCUCUAAAGGCCAGACUGGCACCUGCUAACAAGGUCUGCAAGGUAAAACAUUGUCCCCCUCCAGAAUCCAGACUUUGAUCUCAUCUUUUAGCAGCAUCUUAGACCAGUGUGUUUAUGUGGGUGUUCAGGCCUCCAAAGCCUUCACAAACAGCAACGGGCAGGAAGCUUUCUUAUGAAAAAGAAAAGGAAAAAAUGCCAGUUUUCACUGGGUGAAACGACUAUUUUCUGCAUACUAGUUUGAGACUGAGCCAAAGCUGUGAAAGCGGACUAUGAUUUUUGACCCUUCUCAUAACUACUUUCCCUCAUCUGUAGAGGUGAGUAAAAUCAUGCUAAGUACACUGCACUUCUAGGCUCUGAUGAGGAGAGUCAAACAAAACCUGUAUAUAGAAGUUUUAAUGCUGAUAUGGCUAAGAUUAACCUCGGAUUGAGCCUGAGGUUUGUAGUUGAGAUCAGCUACAGCUGCAACACCUGGACCAGAGUUUCACUGGAGUCAGGGGAUCAGAUUGCUUUGGCUUGGACCCCUACUCUACUGUGGACACUUUUUCAUUAGGCUAAUCCAUGGUCCCCCAGAUUGGCCCCAACAUCACCCCAAUUUUGUGCCAUGGUUGAUGAGGUGGUGUUGCAGAGCUGGAAAAUACCCUCAGAUCUCAAAAGAAAGAUGCAAAGUCCUGUAACCAAGUUAUGCUUAUUCCUACAUGCUCACACUCAUGGCAUAUCAGGAACUCAGGGCAGCCAAUUUUUCAAGCAGUGCUAAAACAUGUAUUUCACAUUGGUGAAAGGGAGGGACACCGAGCACUUAACCCUGCUCUUAGCCCUUCCCCCAGUUUUCUCUUUCUUGAGCCUGAAUUCAACUGGAAGCAUUAUUUUUAGAGCUGUUGAAUUUAACCCCAAACUCACCCACCCUUCCAGAAUCCUACUGUUGUGCCACAGUAAUGAUGUAAUACACAGUCAUCCCAUAACCAGGACUUGUACAGCACAAAGCCCAUUUGCACCCAUCAGAGUCUGCAAGGCAGCAUCAACCGAUGACUUAUCUUCUGGAGCACUGAAGGAAUUGAGUUCUGCCGAAGAAAUUAUUUAUGAAGAUUUUCCAAGUUGCUCAGAGCUUCAGAUGGAGGAGGUUGAAUAUGACUUCUUUAAUAAAACAGGCUGGGAUGUCAUGAAUGAGUUAAAAGGUCACAGGAAGGAAAUGUUGGACCAAGAACCUUGUGGUUAAAGAAUGAUCAUAAAAAGAGGGAGAAGAUCAACAGGAAGAUUUUAUUUUAAUACAACAAUCCAUAAAGAAAUUAAAUCUCUUGUGAGAAAGAAACCUUUGAUUUUAAAGUUAAAAUUCUAACAGAAGGUUUAAGGUUUGAAAUAACAGAUUUUUAUAUUAAAGCUAAGCUCAGAACUGAUUGAAAACUAGGGCACAUAAGGCUUCUUAGACCUCUUUCUGCCAUCUAUCUUCACUUCAACAAGUAUGUGAAACAUGAAUUCUUUAGAUAUAUAAACUCUCAUGUCUAAGCAAAACACUGGUAGAGGACUCUCUAGGAGUACUCCAGCUGCCAAAUCCAAUGCUUUCCAUAAUCAGGCAUCAGUCUGGAGUACAGCGUGAUGUACAGCUGUAGUGAUCCUGGUGGGUGAGCUUCUUAUGGCCACUGAGAGAGGGAAGAUGUGUAUGUUACUGUUACUUGAUCCAUCAACAGCCUUCAACACCACCAGUCCCUUGGGUGCAGCUGAUUCACUUACAGGACCUGGCAGGCCUGGAUGUGCAGCUCUGUGUGGACUCUGCAUGUUCCUCUUGGACAGAUAACAGAAGACCCUCCGUCAUGGGAUAUGUAGCUUUCAAUCCCAUCUUCUGCCUUUGCAAACGUAUUUGUGGGAUCUAUCAUCAAGAGCACUCGCACAGUUGCCUGUCUACUUUUGCAGAGGCAGUCAAUGUUAUUGCCCAGAUGUCCCAGUGCUGGUGAGAAACAAGUACAUGGAUGAAAAGAAGCUGGAUCCAAUUCUUUGUGGAUAAGACACGGUGAGUUUCACAGGGAAAGGGAAUACUUCAAGGAUCUCACCUUUUGUAGAAGGUUUACCCUACUGAUCAUCAGCAUGAUUCACAGAUCCAAACUUCAGCUGGGAGUGCUGUCACUCACAAGUGCACAGGUGGCAAUGCUGAGGAAAGUCUUCCUUUUUAAGGGGCUAGAAAGAAACGUAUGCUCAUUUGCCUGGAGUGAUUGACUAACUUC